AUCAAGAAAGCGAAAAAUUGCGCCAAGUUUCGGCCUUGGACCUCGGGAUUUCUAUCCCGUUUUGAUA
rnacentral:tRNA from 1 species